rnacentral:rRNA from 1 species
UACGAAGGGGGCUAGCGUUGUUCGGAAUUACUGGGCGUAAAGCGCGCGCAGGCGGCUAUCCAAGUCAGUGGUGAAAGCCCGGAGCUCAACUCCGGAACUGCCAUUGAAACUGUUUAGCUUGAGGAUGAGAGAGGUGAGUGGAAUUCCCAGUGUAGAGGUGAAAUUCGUAGAUAUUGGUAGGAACACCAGUGGCGAAGGCGGUCUUCUGGAGCACUCUUGACGCUGAGGCGCGAAAGCUGGGGGAGCGAACGGG